GCUUACGGCCAUAUCAGCCUGGGUACGCCCGAUCUCGUCUGAUCUCGGAAGCUAUGCAGGGUCGGGCCUGGUUAGUACUUGGAUGGGAGACCGCCUGGGAAUACCAUGUGCUGUAAGCA
rnacentral:rRNA from 1 species